rnacentral:ncRNA from 1 species
AAAGAAGCGAUGAGAAGAUGAGUAACCGAUUCGUGUGUUUCAACAGAGAGCCGCCAUUGGGUGUAAGGCGGCAAACGCACAGCGGUGAAGAUGGUCUUUGUGGUUCGCGACAUUUGAGCCUUGGUGAAAGUGUCAUGGGUGCGCCCAUUAUCGCGCCGGAGUCUGAUCGGACUUCAUGAGGUGUCGGGUGUGAGCGCGACACGAAUCAAGGUGGUACCACAGCAUCGCUGUCCUUGAC